AUUGAACGCUGGCGGCAUGCUUUACACAUGCAAGUCGAACGGUAACAGGCCGCAAGGUGCUGACGAGUGGCGAACGGGUGAGUAAUGCAUCGGAACGUGCCCAGUCGUGGGGGAUAACGCAGCGAAAGCUGCGCUAAUACCGCAUACGAUCUCUGGAUGAAAGCGGGGGACCGAAAGGCCUCGCGCGAUUGGAGCGGCCGAUGUCAGAGUAGGUAGUUGGUGGGGUAAAGGACCACCAAGCCAACGAUCUGUAGCUGGUCUGAGAGGACGACCAGCCACACUGGGACUGAGACACGGACCAGACUCCUACGGGAGGCAGCAGUGGGGAAUUUUGGACAAUGGGCGCAAGCCUGAUCCAGCAAUGCCGCGUGCAGGAAGAAGGCCUUCGGGUUGUAAACUGCUUUUGUACGGAACGAAACGGUCCGGGCUAAUACCCUGGGCUAAUGACGGUACCGUAAGAAUAAGCACCGGCUAACCACGUGCCAGCAGCCGCGGUAACAC
rnacentral:rRNA from 1 species